rnacentral:rRNA from 1 species
GUGCCAGCAGCCGCGGUAAUACGGAGGGGGUUAGCGUUGUUCGGAAUUACUGGGCGUAAAGCGCGCGUAGGCGGAUUGGAAAGUUGGGGGUGAAAUCCCAGGGCUCAACCCUGGAACUGCCCUCAAAACUCCCAGUCUUGAGUUCGAGAGAGGUGAGUGGAAUUCCGAGUGUAGAGGUGAAAUUCGUAGAUAUUCGGAGGAACACCAGUGGCGAAGGCGGCUCACUGGCUCGAUACUGACGCUGAGGUGCGAAAGUGUGGGGAGCAAACAGGAUUAGAUACCCUGGUAGUCCACACCGUAAACGAUGAAUGCCAGUCGUCGGCAAGCAUGCUUGUCGGUGACACACCUAACGGAUUAAGCAUUCCGCCGGGGGAGUACGGCCGCAAGGUUAAAACUUAAAUGAAUUGACGGGG